rnacentral:lncRNA from 1 species
UUUAAACCUUUGAUCUGCAAGUUUUCUUCUGAAUUUGAUGUUGUCCGUACAUGAGGGAAGGAGAGAGAGAGUGAGUACGAGAGAGGAGAGAGCACGGGAGAGAAAAGAGAGGAAGGGUGUGUGUGUGUGAGUGGUCCACGUGGUUCACCAACCAAAACCACAUAAACUUAGUUCAAUGUUUGUCCAAAGAUUAAGGAGAAAUGCAAGUUUGAACCACCCCUAUCAUGCAUAAUCAAGGUAUUAAAUAUCGGUAAUAUCGGAAAUAUCGGUAGUUCGAAAACACGGAAAUAUCGAUGGAAAUAUCGGGAUA